AGAGUUUGAUCCUGGCUCAGGAUAAACGCUGGCGGCGUGCCUAACACAUGCAAGUCGAACGAUCCCGCAAGGGAGAGUGGCGGAAGGGUGAGUAACACGUGGGAAUCUACCUCCUCGCAGGGAACAACCUCUCGAAAGAGAGGCUAAUACCCAAAAGGGUCAGAAAUGAUCAGAGUCGAAAGGCGUGAGGAGAGGAGCCCGCGGCCCAUCAGCUAGUUGGUGAGGUAAUGGCUUACCAAGGCAACGACGGGUAGGGGAUCUGAGAGGAUGUCCCCCACACUGGAACUGAAACACGGUCCAGACGCCUACGGGUGGCAGCAGUGAGGAAUAUUGGACAAUGGGCGAAAGCCCGAUCCAGCAACGCCGCGUGGAGGAUGAAGGCCUUCGGGUCGUAAACUUCUUUAGAGGGAGACGAGAAAGGACGGUAUCCCUAGAAUAAGCGACGGCAAACUACGUGCCAGCAGCCGCGGUAACACGUAGGUCGCGAGCGUUAUCCGGAUUUACUGGGCGUAAAGCGCUUGUAGGCGGUUCUGUAAGUCGGGCGUGAAAUCUCCGGGCUUAACCCGGAGUGGCCGUUCGAUACUGCAGGGCUUGAGGAUGCUAGAGGGUGGUGGAAUUCCAGGUGUAGUGGUGAAAUGCGUAGAUAUCUGGAGGAACAUCCGUGGCGAAGGCGGCCACCUGGGGCAUUCCUGACGCUGAGAAGCGACAGCUAGGGGAUCAAACGGGAUUAGAAACCCCGGUAGUCCUAGCCGUAAACGAUGGACGCUAGGUGUUGGCAGAUCUAACCCUGUCUGCGCCGAAGCAAACGCGUUAAGCGUCCCGCCUGGGAACUACGGUCGCAAGAUUAAAACUCAAAGGAAUUGACGGGGACCCGCACAAGCAGCGGAGCGUGUGGUUUA
rnacentral:rRNA from 1 species